rnacentral:rRNA from 1 species
ACGGGGUGCAGCAGGCGCGAAAACUCCACAAUGUACGGAAGUACGAUGGGGUUAUCUCGAGUGCAGUCCGAUAAGGGCUGCUUUUCCAUAGAGUAAUAUCCUGUGGGAAUAAGAGGGGGGCAAGACUGGUGUCAGCCGCCGCGGUAACACCAGCCCCUCGAGUGGUGGGGACUAUUAUUUGGCCUAAAGCGUCCGUAGCUGGCUGUAUCCGUCUCCCGGUAAAUCCGGCGUCCUAAGCGUCGGUUCUCGGGUGAUACCAUACAGCUAGAGGGUGGGAUAGGUGAGCGGUAUUUCUGGGGUAGGGGCGAAAUCCUUUGAUCCCAGGAGGACCACCAGUGGCGAAGGCUGCUCACUAGAACACGCCUGACGGUCAGGGACGAAAGCUGGGGCAGCGAACCGGAUUAGAUACCCGGGUAGUCCCAGCUGUAAACGAUGCUAGCUAGGUGUUGGGUCGGCCACGCGCCGCCCCAGUGCCGCAGGGAAGCCGUUAAGCUAGCCGCCUGGGGAGUACGGCCGCAAGGCUGAAACUUAAAGGAAUUGCCGGGGGAGCAC